rnacentral:rRNA from 1 species
UUGCUCAUCGGGGGUUCUCCCCCGUGUACUCUUCUAUGGGCAGCCCAGCAUCAGUCCGGGCGGUUGGAGAAAGACCUGUGUCAUGUAGCUGUUUUCGGGCAGUGUUAUAGGGCAGGUGGAAUGCAACCAGCCUGGACUGAGGUCCGCGCAUCUGCUAGGAUGCUGGCGUAAUGGCUGUAAGCGGCCCGUCUUGAAACACGGACCAAGGAGUCUAACAUCUAUGCGAGUGUUUGGGUGUCAAGCCCGAGCGCGUAAUGAAAGUGAACGGAGGUGGGAACCUUUUAGGUGCACCAUCGACCGAUCCUGAUGUCUUCGGAUGGAUUUGAGUAAGAGCAUAGCUGUUGGGACCCGAAAGAUGGUGAACUAUGCCUGAAUAGGGUGAAGCCAGAGGAAACUCUGGUGGAGGCUCGCAGCGGUUCUGACGUGCAAAUCGAUCGUCAAAUUUGGGCAUAGGGGCGAAGGACUAAUCGAACUAUCUAGUAGCUGGUUCCUGCCGAAGUUUCCCUCAGGAUAGCAGUAACGUUUUCAGUUUUAUGAGGUAAAGCGAAUGAUUAGAGGCCUGGGGGUUGAAACAACCUUCACCUAUUCUCAAACUUUAAAUAUGUAAGAAGUCCUUGUUUCUUAAUUGAACGUGGACAUUUGAAUGUAUCGUUACUAGUGGGCCAUUUUUGGUAAGCAGAACUGGCGAUGCGGGAUGAACCGAACGCGGGGUUAAGGUGCCAGAAUGCACGCUCAUCAGACACCACAAAAGGUGUUGGUUCAUCUAG